rnacentral:SRP_RNA from 1 species
GGGUAAGUCCUACACGGCCAGCUCCCAAUGAACUCCCCCAGGGCUUGAUCGCAGCAAGGGUAAUUGGUUGUAGCGGCGCGAUGUAGUAAGCUUACCCUUU